UUUUCCGGGUUUGGCCUGCCGGAGGCCAUUGCUAUUGGAGUCCGAUUUAGCCAUGCUAGUUGCACGGGUUCAGGCCCGUAGCAGAUAGCUCAGUAACACGUGGCCAAACUGCCCUCUGGAGCGCAAUAACCUCGGGAAACUGAGGCUAAUGGCGCAUACGGCUCGGCACCUGGAGUGGACCGAGCUCGAAACGUUCCGGCGCCAGAGGAUGUGGCUGCGGCCGAUUAGGUAGACGGUGGGGUAACGGCCCACCGUGCCAGUAAUCGGUACGGGUUGUGAGAGCAAGAGCCCGGAGACGGUAUCUGAGACAAGAUACCGGGCCCUACGGGGCGCAGCAGGCGCGAAACCUUUACACUGCACGCCAGUGCGAUAAGGGGACUCCACGUGCGAGGGCAUAUAGUCCUCGCUUUUCUGGACCGUAAGGUGUCCAGGAAUUAAUCCUGGGCAAGACCGGUGCCAG
rnacentral:rRNA from 1 species